AAAUUGAAGAGUUUGAUCAUGGCUCAGAUUGAACGCUGGCGGCAGGCCUAACACAUGCAAGUCGAACGGUAGCACAGAGAGCUUGCUCUCGGGUGACGAGUGGCGGACGGGUGAGUAAUGUCUGGGAAACUGCCUGAUGGAGGGGGAUAACUACUGGAAACGGUGGCUAAUACCGCAUAACGUCGCAAGACCAAAGAGGGGGACCUUCGGGCCUCUUGCCAUCAGAUGUGCCCAGAUGGGAUUAGCUUGUUGGUGAGGUAACGGCUCACCAAGGCGACGAUCCCUAGCUGGUCUGAGAGGAUGACCAGCCACACUGGAACUGAGACACGGUCCAGACUCCUACGGGAGGCAGCAGUGGGGAAUAUUGCACAAUGGGCGCAAGCCUGAUGCAGCCAUGCCGCGUGUAUGAAGAAGGCCUUCGGGUUGUAAAGUAC
rnacentral:rRNA from 1 species